rnacentral:rRNA from 1 species
AUGAACGUUGGCGGCGUGUCUAAGGCAUGCAAGUCGAGCGACGUGUUCCCGCAAGGGAAUUACGAGCGGCAGACGGGUGCGUAACACAUUGGUAAUCCACCUCCGAGACGGGGAUAGCUCGCCGAAAGGCGAGAUAACACCCGAUGGUCAUGCGGGGUCAUAUGACAUUCGCAUGUAAAAAUUUAUUGCUCGGAGAGGAGCCUAUGGCCUAUCAGCUAGUUGGUGAGGUAAAAGCUCACCAAGGCUAUGACGGGUAGGGGACGUGAGAGCGUGAUCCCCCUCACUGGGACUGAGACACUGCCCAGACUCCUACGGGAGGCUGCAGUCGAGAAUAUUCCGCAAUGGACGAAAGUCUGACGGAGCGACGCCGCGUGCAGGAAGACGCCCUUCGGGGUGUAAACUGCUUUUAGUAGGGAAGAAUUUGUGACGGUACCUACUGAAUAAGAGGUUGCUAACUCUGU